GCGCCGGUGGUGUAGCGGUAACAUACAUCCUUUCUCUGACGAUGAAAGUGGCAAUCGAUUUCGGGAUGAGUCCGGGGUUCGAGUCCCCGCCGGCGCA